GGACUACCCGGGUUUCUAAUCCUGUUUGAUCCCCACGCUGUCGCGCAUGAGCGUCAGAAAUGAGCCAGUGAGCCGCCUUCGCCACCGGUGUUCUUCCCAAUAUCUACGAAUUUCACCUCUACACUGGGAAUUCCACUCACCUCUCUCAUCCUCGAGCUAAACAGUUUCAAUGGCAGUUCCGGAGUUAAGCUCCGGGCUUUCACCACUGACUUGGAUAGCCGCCUGCGCGCGCUUUACGCCCAGUAAUUCCGAACAACGCUAGCCCCCUUCGUAUUACCGCGGCGGCUGGCAC
rnacentral:rRNA from 1 species